AACGAACGCUGGCGGCAGGCCUAACACAUGCAAGUCGAACGAGAAGCUUUCCUUCGGGAAAGUGGAAAGUGGCAGACGGGUGAGUAACGCGUGGGAACGUGCCUUUCGGUUCGGAACAACUCCGGGAAACUGGAGCUAAUACCGGAUACGCCCUUCGGGGGAAAGAUUUAUCGCCGAUGGAUCGGCCCGCGUCUGAUUAGCUUGUUGGUGGGUAACGGCCUACCAAGGCGACGAUCAGUAGCUGGUCUGAGAGGAUGAUCAGCCACACUGGGACUGAGACACGGCCCAGACUCCUACGGGAGGCAGCAGUGGGGAAUAUUGGACAAUGGGCGCAAGCCUGAUCCAGCCAUGCCGCGUGAGUGAUGACGGCCCUAGGGUUGUAAAGCUCUUUCGGCGGGGAAGAUAAUGACGGUACCCGCAGAAGAAGCCCCGGCUAACUUCGUG
rnacentral:rRNA from 1 species